GCCCCGCCCGCAUCGCCUCGCCCUCUCCUUUCCCUCUCCCUCCCUCAGUCCUUGCCGCCCCGCCCCGCCCCGUUUGGAUGCCCCCGCUCGCCCCACCCUCUCCUCCCUCAGACCUCGCCGCCCGCCCACAUCGCCGAUGCCCCUCAGACCACGCAGUGGUGGACCUCUCUCCUCCCACGCCCGCGUUCUUCCUCCCCCAACACGCCCCCACUCGGCCCCGCAUGCCUAGGCGUCUUCCACCAACCACGGCGACGGCGCAGCGGCCACGGAGGCGGCGGGUCAGCAGCGCCGGUGAUGGCGUCCGUGGCAGCGGUGGAGGGCGCGGCCGCGGCGCUCCGUUCGGUGUUGUUGCGCGCGCAUCAGGCGGCGACGCGGCCUGGGCGCGCGUCGGAGUCGGUGCGCGUGGUGGCGGUGAACAAGACGAAGCCCGUGGGCGUCAUCCACGGCGUGUACGACGCCGGCCACCGCUGCUUCGGCUAGAACUACGUCCACAAGCUCAUCGACAAGGCCCCCCAGGUUGUACCCCCAGCUGAGAAGAAUGAAAUUUUUAUCCCCUUUCACCGCGUGAAAGAACUGCUGAUUGGAACGUGAAUGGAAAACAAGUCACUCUCUCUCUCUCUCGUGCUUCUGCUCGCCCGGGAUGCAGCUCUUCAGUGAGCUCGACAAGAUGUGCUUGAAGAAAAGGGCCAUUGGAUUGUACAGGAAGAAUGGGAUGUUGUUCUUUGCUGCUUCACCUAGCCUUGCUGCUCGACCAUGUUGCCCCUGGUGUUGUUGUUGUGGGUUGGUGCUGCUGCUGUUGCAGGGGCAGCAGUGUCUCCAAGCAAACAGGUUGUUGUGUACCUACGACAUAUUUCUGUGCUCCUGGAUGUGCUACAUCACCUCAUCCUCUCAUUGGCCGCCUCGGUGCCCGUGGCGUUCGUGCUCAUCGGCAGGACGGUGCAAGGUGCAACUCCGAUGCAGCGGCGUGGAUGUGCGGUGUAGGAAGCGGUUCCUCGCCGGCUGGACGGCGUUCAGGCGCAACCCCGGCGCCCACUAAGUACUGCCUCGGCUACGACCUCCUUCAGUGAGCUCCAUCUUCCUCCUGCUCUGCUUCAGCUACUGCAUGGGACAUGGCUAGGGCUACGAUGAUCAGUUAUGGCUGAUAUAGGCAUGCUCUCGAGCAAUCGAGGCAAUUGUUGUGGGUAUUAAUUUGGAUCCCCCCUCAUUUCUUUGAGCUAUUUUGAUCACGUUCUUAUUUUAGUGACUCUGUCCUUGGAUGGUCAUUUCUGCUGAGUGAUAACGAGGGCAGUUUCACCCUCAUAAGAACAUAUUGAUCUGGUGAUCCAUCAAGAAAUCCAUCGAGAAAUAAGGAUGCCGGUCAUCCUCCCAGCUCCUCAGCCGUUUGGGAUUCCUGGCCGUCGGAUCGGGUGGCUUGAUCGGAUUUGGGCCGUCGGAUCGACCCCUGUAACGACCUCAUCCGUCGGAUAAAAAAAGUUACUGCUGGAAUGAAUAGUUACUCCCGUUUCAUGCCACCGCUCGUAAAUAGCCUGCCCCGCCGGGGGCAUUCUCGCCAUUUCGCUUUGUCUGUGGCGGUGGCGUUCGUGCUAGGGCGAUGAUGAUUAACUGUGGCUGGAAUAAGUGUGCCUUUGAGCAAUCAAGGCACCUUUUGGUAUCAAGUUGGAUCCUCCCUGUUGUCUCUAGAAUCCUUUUUGAUCCUGUGAUACCUGUUGAUCUGUCCUUGGAUGGUCAUUCUUGUUGAGUGAUAACCAGGGCAGCUCCAUUGUGUAAACAGAUUGAUCUGGUGAUAAGAGAUGACGGGGUAGGUUAUAUGAUUGAGGAAAGGCGAAUCUGAGCCCACUAUGCAAUGAACACUAAACCCUUUUUAUUUUUAUUUAAAGGUGUUGCUUAUUUAUGCUCCAGUGUUUAUAGCCGUUUAAAGUAAAGUUUUCUUCUCUCUCGUACCUUUAUUGUUUGUUGUUGUUCUUUGAUUUAAUCUGGUUAAGAGUAAGUUGCACUUUGUUAUACUAGAAAGACUCACUCCCAGCAAGUUAUCGGUUGAAUGACUUGUUUUAAUUCGUUGUGAUACUAUUACUUCUAUUUUUUUGCAAGUUACCGGUUGCAGCUAUUUGUUCAUGCUACAGAAAUUAAUACUACAGGAUUUUUUUUGAGAUUUUUCUUGAGAUAAUGUUGGAUUGUUCAUGUAAAGAGUGACCGAGGUAGCAUGUCCCGUUUUGUAUCCAUAAACAAUUUUUGACUGAUGUGAUUAAGUUGCUUGGUUAAUCCGAGCCAUUGAGCGGACAUUUCCUUACAGAUGACCUUCUGCUUUCUUAUUUUGACAAAAUAGACAAGCUGGAUGCAGUUGCCGCCACUCAUGUUGCUACAGGGGGAGUGCGCGCAGGGGGGGGGGGGGGGUGCGGGUCAAGGUGAGCUCAUCGGCACCGCUGCUGACCGGCAGAUCCAGGCGCACCCUCUCGAUGCACGCAGGGGGGUGAUCUAUGACGACCUCCUGGGCACGACACCGCUGGAGACGGUUUUGCUUUGUGGCCUCAAGUCCAGCGUAUCCUUGGUUUUAUAUUGAAUAAAUGCCUGCAGUUUGCACUCAUUUCUGUAACAUAGAAGUUUAUCCUGCUCCUCUUCAUCUUAUGCUUUGUAGUGGACUUGAUACGUAUGUUUAGUGUCUAUGCCAAUACCUGUGGUUCUGAAGUGUAUUUGAGAUGUAUUUUCCUUCUGGAAAGGCCACACUAUUCCUUCCAAGUAUAUUCAUAGUAAAUGAGAAUGCAUGUGUUUCCUGUAUGUAA